rnacentral:lncRNA from 1 species
UCACAUCGACUAUCAUAUUUGUAAUUCAUUUACCUCAUCAAAUAUCUAAUAAAACACACCUUCCGCCGUCUGUCAUUUGGCCACAAUAUAUAUAUACACAUCUCAUACAUAUCUCACAUUAGCCAUUCGGCUUUACCUCAUAUCCAUCUCAUACACGUUUCGCAUUAGCCAUUCAACUUUACCUCAUAUCCAUCUCAUACACGUUUCGCAUUAGCCAUUCGGCUUUACCUCAUAUCCAUCUCAUACACAUUUCGCAUUAGCCAUUCGGCUUCGCCACAUAUAUACACUUCCACGUUCAUCACAUUGGCCAUUCUACCUUAUCACAUAUAUGCAUGUUC